rnacentral:rRNA from 1 species
CCUACGGGGGGCAGCAGUGAGGAAUAUUGGUCAAUGGGCUUACGCCUGAACCAGCCAAGUCGCGUGAGGGAAGACUGCCCUAUGGGUUGUAAACCUCUUUUGUCAGGGAGCAAUUGGCGCUACGUGUAGCGUUCUCGAGAGUACCUGAAGACAAAGCCUCGGCUAACUCCGUGCCAGCAGCCGCGGUAAUACGGAGGAUGCGAGCGUUCUCCGGUUUUAUUGGGUUUAACGGGUGCGGAGGCGGAAUGCCAAGUCAGCGGUAAAAUCGCGGGGCACAACCUCGCUCCGCCGUUGAAACUGGCGUGCUGGAGUGGGCGAGAAGUAGGCGGAAUGCGUGGUGUAGCGGUGAAAUGCAUAGAUAUCACGCAGAACUCCGAUUGCGAAGGCAGCAUACCGGAGCGCAACUGACGCUGAAGCACGAAAGCGUGGGUAUCGAACAGGAUUAGAUACCCCGGUAGUC